UUGGCUUAGAAGCAGCCAUCCUUGAAAGAGUGCGUAAUAGCUCACUGGUCAAGUGAUCGUGCGCCGACAAUGUAGCGGGGCUCAAGCACACCGCCGAAGCCGCGGACCCAUGACGUUGUUCCCUUCACUGUCCGGCUUGUCCGGGUGGUGGCAGGGGUUGUGGGUGGUAGGGGAGCGUCCUGCACCGGGGGAAGCCUGUGGGUGACUGCUGGUGGACGGUGCGGGAGUGAGAAUGCAGGCAUGAGUAGCGAUACUAGGGUGAGAAGCCCUAGCGCCGAAUGACCAAGGGUUCCAGGGCCAGGCUAGUCCGCCCUGGGUGAGUCGGGACCUAAGGCGAGGCCGACAGGCGUAGUCGAUGGAUGACGGGUUGAUAUUCCCGUACCGGCGAAGCACCGCCCAUGCUGACGCGCGGGUGCUAACCCACGCCCAGCCACCAUAUUGGCCGCAUGUGUCAGGUUCGCCUGACGGUGUGGUUGUGGUGGUGGGGUCUGGGGAUCCUCCGUGCAGGUAGGCAAGCGUGUUAACAGGGGUGACGCACAGUGGUAGCCCGGCGGACCUGAUGGCUUGGUCCGUUCAAGCGCGCAGCCCGUUCCCCAGGUAAAUCCGGGGGACUGUCUUUGAUGACGGGGGUGAGGCGUGAUGGUGACCUCACACUGGUGGGGGAUAACAGGGUGAUCCUGGGGUGCCGAGAAAAGCCUCGACGCGAUGGUGCCAGCCGCCCGUACCCUAAACCGACACAGGUGGUCGGGCAGAGUAUGCCUAGGCGCACGAGUGAAUCAUGGUUAAGGAACUCGGCAAAAUGCCCCCGUAACUUCGGGAGAAGGGGGGCCUGAUCCCUGAAGCCCCGUUUGCGGGCUAGGGGGGAGGGUCGCAGAGGCCAGGGGGAAGCGACUGUUUACUAAAAACACAGGUCCGUGCGAAGCCGUAAGGCGAUGUAUACGGACUGACGCCUGCCCGGUGCUGGAAGGUUAAGAGGAACCAUCAACCCCCUUGUGGGGUGAAGUGGUGAAUUUAAGCCCCAGUAAACGGCGGUGGUAACUAUAACCAUCCUAAGGUAGCGAAAUUCCUUGUCGGGUAAGUUCCGACCUGCACGAAUGGCGUAACGACUUCUCCGCUGUCUCAACCGCGAACUCGGUGAAAUUGCAGUACGAGUAAAGAUGCUCGUUUCGCGCAGAAGGACGGAAAGACCCCGGGACCUUUACUAUAGCUUGGUAUUGGUGUUCGCUUGGACUUGUGUAGGAUAGGUGGGAGACUGUGAAGCUGCCGCGCCAGCGGUGGUGGAGUCGUCGUUGAAAUACCAUUCUGGUUCAAGCGGUCACCUCAACCUUGGCCCGUGAUCCGGGUUGGGGACAGUGCCUGGUGGGUAGUUUAACUGGGGCGGUUGCCUCCUAAAAUGUAACGGAGGCGCUCAAAGGUUCCCUCAGCCUGGUUGGUAAUCAGGUGGCGAGUGCAAGUGUACAAGGGAGCUUGACUGUGAGACCGACGGGUCGAGCAGGUGCGAAAGCAGGAACUAGUGAUCCGGCCAUGGCACGUGGGUGCGUGGUCGCUCAACGGAUAAAAGGUACCCCGGGGAUAACAGGCUGAUCUUGCCCAAGAGUCCAUAUCGACGGCAUGGUUUGGCACCUCGAUGUCGGCUCGUCGCAUCCUGGGGCUGGAGCAGGUCCCAAGGGUUGGGCUGUUCGCCCAUUAAAGCGGUACGCGAGCUGGGUUUAGAACGUCGUGAGACAGUUCGGUCCCUAUCCUCUGCGCGCGCAGGAGACUUGAGAAGGCCUGUCCCUAGUACGAGAGGACCGGGACGGACGAACCUCUGGUGUGCCAGUUGUCCCGCCCGGGGCACGGCUGGUUGGCUACGUUCGGGAAGGGUAACCGCUGAAAGCAUCUAAGCGGGAAACCAUCUUCAAGAUAAGGUCUCCACAAGAAGGACUUGUCCUUUUUGGUAGGCCCCCAGCAGACUACUGGGUUGAUAGGCCAGAAGUGGAAGACCGGCAACGGUCUGUGAGCUGACUGGUACUAAUAGGCCAACACAAACAACAA
rnacentral:rRNA from 1 species